rnacentral:ncRNA from 1 species
UUUUGUUUAACUAUGGCAACAGGAAGUAAUGAGGGGGUUUAACUGCAUAAAGUUAUUAUACUCUGUUUCACACCAGUUUUAGUAUGUGCAUUAGCAGUUAGUCUUUUAUUAGAACACACGUUUUCUAAGAAAGCUCCUCACUUAAAGGGGAAAGGGCACAGUGCCAGCAUCCGCGGUUAAUCUGUUUUCUUUGCUUUUUUAUGAUUAUCUAUUAAAAGGUUAAAUGUAAGGUUAGGUGAAAUUUUCUUAUUUUAUUAUUCAACUUUUAUGAAUUGUUAUAUAAUAUUAAAUGACAGGGAUUAGAUACCCCAUUAAUUUAUUAUGUUACUUUAAUUUAGUUUUAUAACUAAAAUAGUUUGGCAGCGAGUUACUCCUUUUGGGGGAAGGUGUGUUGUAAAGGAUGAUCCGCCAAUUAUUCAACUUUGGUUCUGUUGGUGUAUAUCUGGUUAAAUAUUAUUGCUUAGUAGCUGAAUUUGUGUAUUUCUAAUUAAGCCAAGUCUAUGUGCUGCAUGCUAAAGAAUUUCAUGCGUUACACUAAUAAAAGGGUUUUUGAAAAAGAACCUACAUAAGGACUCAAGAGUAAUAUGGGUUAAGUUUGUCUGUGUGAAAAGGGUUUAACUCGGGUACACACCGCCCGUCACCCUCGAUUGCUGUUGAGGUAAGUCGUAACAUGGUAACCACAAAUGAAUUUGUGGUUAAUUAUUUUUCCC